rnacentral:rRNA from 1 species
CCCUUAGAUGUUCUGGGCCGCACGCGCGCUACACUGUUCGACGCAGCGAGUCUUAACCUUGACCGAAAGGUUUGGGUAAUCUUCAGCAAAGUCGAACGUGAUGGGGAUCGAUCAUUGCAAUUAUUGAUCGUGAACGAGGAAUUCCUAGUAAGUGCAAGUCAUCAGCUUACGCUGAUCACGUCCCUGCCCUUUGUACACACCGCCCGUCGCUACUACCGAUUGAAUGGUUUAGUGAGAUCUCUGGAUUGACGCUGGCUAGGGGGCGACCCUUGGCCAGACUGUUGAGAAACUGCUCAAACUUGAUCAUUUAGAGGAAGUAAAAGUCGUAACA